rnacentral:snRNA from 22 species
AUAAAUCUCUUUGCCUUUUGGCUUAGAUCAAGUGUAGUAUCUGUUCUUUUCAGUGUAACAACUGGAAUGUCCUCAACGAGGGCGUUACGCUAAGUUACAGCCCACUUUUUGGAACCUUAGGGAGAAGAAGGCUCGGAAUCGUCGCUGGGUGGCGCAUCGGCAAUACGGAGCUACCUGGAUGCAGGCCUG